AGUUCAAUAGCUCAGUCGGUAGAGCAUGAGACUCUUAAACUCAUGGUCGUGGGUUCAAGCCCCAUGUUGGGCCA
rnacentral:tRNA from 1 species